UGGCGGGGAGGGCUGGGAGGCUAGCCGUCUCCCUUAACCUGAAAACGGCUACACGCAGGGGCCAGUAACCACCAGGUAAAACACCACAUCUGAAACACCCGCCAACUGGGUGGGGAUGAAGCCGCGCUGCGGUGGGUAGUGGCAAGGAGCACCCCUCUCGAAAGGGAGGGUGUGACUCUCAACCACCGAACCGAGUCAGGUCCGGGAGGGAGCAGCUCUAAGGUGGGGCCAGCUACGCUGCCGCAUCUACGUGGUUGACUUCAUCUGGUUGGAGAAGGGGUUCGGGUGCAGUGUGAAUUCUGGUGGAGCCGCCA
rnacentral:SRP_RNA from 1 species